ensembl:lncRNA
GUGUUGACCCAGCAUUUUGAGUUUCUUAUAUUUUGGUUUAUUUUUGCAUUAUGGAUUAUUUUCUGAUGUUCUGGUGCUUUGUUCAUUAUUAUUAUUAGCAAUAAAGCUGUGUAUUUUGAAGUUUCUUCCGCCUCCGUGAGUCCUGCAUUUUGGGUCCUCUCUUCCUGCCUGCCUACAAACAGACAUGACACAGACACCCUGUAUUUUUCCUCACUACUACACAUCAGCCCUUGCGAGCACAACGCUUGUUCAGCAGGACGGACAGCAAAGCUAACAGUGUUCUUUUGUUGUUUAACAUGGACUUCAUAUAUGGGUCAAUAAGCUGUCCAGAAAUACCUACAGCAGCGGGAGCAAUAAGACCAAGCCUUACAUUAGACCUGAGACAGAGUACGCAGCGUGUCAAGAACCGGGGCCAUCCAGAAUAACACAGACCAAUGUCAAUCACACAACCCCUUCCCACGAUGCGGACCAUGACGACCCCUUGAUGCUUUUGGAAUAUAUACGCGAUAUUGAACUCCCAGAACAACAAGAAAAACCACAAGCUUUGUGCAACAAUGGAGACUAAGAACCAUUCUUCAUCACCGGACCAUACAUACACGCGAGUGCCUGCCUUGUGAUUUCAGCGAUAUUCCUGAGUACAGCCUAUCAGAUUUCAAUAUAGUUGACAUACCCACUACGCCAGAAUGUCUCAGAAACAACAGUGAUACAGACAUAGGUUUUGAAGAAGGCUGCAUAACAGACUCGCAAAUAUCACAGACAUAUAACGCAUACUUAAAUGCAGCAAACACCUCUAAUUUUGAUCAGAGCCAUUCUGCUUCAAACAACGAUAUACUAUCUUUGAUCGAUGCUAAACUCAGCCAACAUCAACAAGCAGUACAGAGGGAUGUGCAAGAAAUAGCAGCUAAAGUCAGCCAACAUCAAGAAGCAGCACAGGGGGACUUGCAAUUAAUAGCAGUGGCUCUAACUAGUACCCAGCAGGCAAUAAACAAUACCUGGGGUUUAUUAGAUCUCAUUAGUACCAGAUUGUUAAAUCACUGACUUUUAAAGUCUACACCAUGGACCCACCCUGUAAAUUAUUCAAACACAAUGAUGGUACCUCCACUCGAGCUAAAUGGUUUCACUUUGAGGCUUUUAACCAGUGGGCUGCGCAAAUAAUAAACAAAUGCGAAGUUUUGCAUGCAAGACUUAGUAGUGUCGCUGUAGCAGACAGUCCUGUGUCUAAUGCACGUCCUUGUCCAACUCAUUCUGAAGCUGUUGCCGAUGAUGCUGUUUAUAUCGAUGUUGUUGCUCAUGCAACCGAUUCACAUCCAGAUAUGCUGCUGCUGCCGCUGCUGUAGGGACUGUUGUUACUCAGGCUACCGCUGAUUGUCUUAUUGCUGAGGCUUCUGUCACAGCUGAUCGGGAGUGUGCACCUGGCGUACAUGCGUAUCUGGGUGCCGCUACAGCUGCUGCUGACGCAUCACCACACAACCCCUCAAACAAUGGAAAUUCCUUAAGUGUUAACCAUUCACAAACAGGUGCUGCAGUAUUCGAGCCCAUUGUUCAGUCUGGGGCAGGCAGUCACAGUCAGCGUAGCAUUAGAGAGAU